UGUCAAAAUCUUGUAAUAUGUUCUAUUGCAUUAUUUUUUUAGUUGUUCAUCACACUCCAAUAAGCACAGAUCAAACAAAUUUUGUUUAGUUUCAGGCUUCUGUUUGUUUUCUGAACUUUUACGGAUCGAAUAUGUGUAGCCCUUGUGGAUCGUGCUGCAGUCCAUGCUGCGGUCCGUGCUGCGGUCCCUGCUGCGGUCCUUGCUGUGGACCCUGCUGUGAUCCGUGCUGUGGACCCUGCUAUGGACCCAAUGUCUGCGGACCGUGCGGUGCAACGGGACCCUGUGCAGGCUGUUGUGGAGGCUGUUGCUGAGCAAUAGGAAUUGCAAACGACAGGGUCUAAACCUUCCAUCACAAGUCCGAUGAAACCUCCAGAAAGCUUGAAGCUAUCGUGUAGUCUCUACGAAUAAAGCAUUUACAAACACCAAAAUUUCACUAAUCACUAAUCGGCUUCUUUAUAUAGUAAACUAUUAAUCUUGCCGGAGCUGUAGCGAAUUUUAACGUUAAAAAAGAAAUAUCCUUGUCCUUGAUGCCACAGGGAACAGUCGGGAGCAGUCUCUCUAUAAGAAGGAAGACUCGAAAUAGCGGAGCUACAUAAUGCGACUUAACUAAAAAUCGAAUACAAAAUACAGGCAAAACUUGGCGAG